rnacentral:lncRNA from 1 species
UUGCAUCCCUUUGAAUUUACAUAACAAAACAUGCAUUAGGGUUCUCAUCACUAAACAUUUGGGGCGCAGGUGGAUAUAAGGUGGAUGAGUACGAUUCCGCGGUGGAUGUUUGAGGAUACAUAUGAUAGCUCUGAGGGUGGUAAUAGUAGAACUCAUGCUUAUUCAUAUCCAAUACUUGUGCAUCCUCUGAUUGUUCAACAGUAGUGGCGGCAGCAUCAGGUUUUGCUGCCUCCUCGCCACCACCUUCCUUCUUUUCUUUUCCACCCCCCACUGCCUCCUCGCCUUUCUUUGCUUCCUUAUCCUUAUCCCCCACCUUCGUCGCCUUUCUUCUCCUCUUAAUCUUCUUUUUUCU